AUAGCUAAAAGCUUAUGGCAUAAGCGGAAAAGAAAGAUGCAUGCUGAAAAGGGGGGAAAAAUGCCCCAAAAGAGCUCAGCAGGCUUAAAAGUAUUCUCAAACUAGACAGUAAUGUUUUAAUGAAAGAUGUUUAAGAGACAGCAACUGUGGUGGUACCCAAACCCAAACAUGCCAAGAGAAAAUGCAACAUGAGGUAAAAGAUGGAAAAGAUGACAUGAAAAUGGAGAUGGAUAUUAAGAGAAACAAAAAGACUCUUCUAGACUGUACUUCUAGCAAGUACAGUACCCAAUAUAGAUGAAUCAAAGGUAAAGAAUAAAGCUGAAGGCAAAGCGAGAGAAAAGAAAGGGGAAAAGCCAAGCAAAAGUAGUGGAGGCGGCGAAGGGUUUGCCCUGGUAG
rnacentral:lncRNA from 1 species